rnacentral:lncRNA from 1 species
AGCCAGGGGACCGGCGCCGGUUCUGUCCACAGACACGUGGUGGCUAGGGGCCCGGACUCCGGGGCAGCCAGACCUCCGGUCUGAGUCACAGCGGUGUCACGGCCAAGAUGUGUCAUCGGUUACAUUCACUGCCUUAUGGCUCAGCUGUUUGGUCUGUAAACUGGGAAUAACAGUGGCACCUGCCUCACAGAUGCGAUUGAAUGAACAAAUGUGGUCAGAUGUUUGGAACCAGUGAGCAGCUUCCUUCAUCCUUGAUUCCCUAGCUUGGCCCGCGUCCAGCUUCCAGGUCCUUAAAAGCCUGUGACUUCAGCGGUCAUCUGGUCCAACUUUGUCCUUUCUUUCUUUUUUUCUUUCUUCUUUCUUUCUUUCUUUCUUUCUUUCUUUCUUUCUUUCUUUCUUUCUUUCUUUCUUUCUUUCUUUCUUUCUUUCUUUCUUUCUUGUCUGUCUUUCUUUUUCUUCCUUCUUCCUUCCUUCCUUCCUUCCUCUUUCUUUCUUUCUUUCUUUCUUUCUUUCUUUUCUUUCUUUCUUCUUUCUUUCUUUCUUUCUUUCUUUCUUUUCUUUCUUCUUUCUUUCUUUCUUUCUUUCUUCUUUCUUUCUUUCUUUUCUUUCUUUCUUUCUUCUUUCUUUCUUUUCUUUCUUUCUUUCUUUCUUUCUUUCUUUCUUUCUGUCUUUUUCUUUCUUUCUUUCUUUCUUUCUUUCUUGUCUUUCUGUCUUUUUCUUUCUUUCUUUCUUUCUUUCUUUCUUUCUUCUUUCUUUCUUUCUUUCUUUUCUUUCUUUCUUUUUCUUUCUUCUUUCUUUCUUUCUUUCUUUCUUUCUUUCUUUUUCUUUCUUUUCUUUCUUCUUUCUUUUCUUUCUUUCUUUCUUUCUUCUUUCUUUUUCUUCCUUCUUCCUUCCUUCUUUCCUUCCUUCCUCUUUCUUUCUUUCUUUCUUUCUUUCUUUCUUGUCUUUCUGUCUUUCUUGUCUUUCUUUUUUUCCAGUCUUUCUCUUUCUUUCUUUUUCUUCCUUCUUCCUUCCUUCCUUCCUCUUUCUUUCUUUCUUUCUUUUCUUUCUUUCUUUUUCUUUCUUCUUUCUUUCUUUCUUUCUUUCUUUCUUUCUUUUUCUUUCUUUCUUUCUUGUCUUUCUGUCUUUUUCUUUCUUUCUUUCUUUUUCUUCCUUCUUCCUUCCUUCCUUCCUUCUUUCCUUCCUUCCUUCUUUCCUUCCUUCCUCUUUCUUUCUUUCUUUCUGUCUUUCUUGUCUUUCUGUCUUUUUCUUUCUUUCUUUCUUCUUUCUUUCUUUCUUUCUUUUUCUUCCUUCUUCCUUCCUUCCUUCCUUCUUUCCUUCCUUCCUUCCUUCUUCCUUCCUUCCUUUUUUUUCUUUCUUCUUUCUUUUCUUUCUUCUUUCUUUCUUUCUUUCUUUCUUUCUGUCUUUUUCUUUCUUCUUUCUUUUUCUUUCUUCUUUCUUUCUUCUUUCUUUCUUUCUUUCUUUUUCUUCCUUCUUCCUUCCUUCCUUCCUUCCUUCCUUCCU